ensembl:lncRNA
AUUAAUGCAAGUCAAAAGUCAAGGAUUAGGCCUGUACAUCCGAGACACAAUUCUUUUGGGACAUACUAUUCGUAUAGGAUUUUUAUGUUUUAUUUCAUGUGGGUAAUUUUUUGUAUUUAUUUAUAUUUAGCUUGCUUCGUGCCACAGAGUCGUUUAGUAGCCCUCUGGAUCAAUUCCUUAAGUGGGUAAAUUGUUGAUUAAGUAGAUUCGUUUAGUUCGCUCAAUGGAUCAUUCGUUUUAAUGAACCGAUUCACAAGAGUCACUUGUUCGUGAAACAAACUUUUUUUUUUAAAAUCGUAUUAAGCAUUCCAACCCUAUCUCCGUUAGUGCUGCAUUUCUGCUAACCAAGUUUGAAAUUGGUCGGAUUACGCGCUUUAAUUUCUAAUAUAUCUCAUAUUUAAAAAGCUAGUUUGGGCGGGAAAUAUCGUAGUUUAGUCAGGUCACGUGUUCCAUUAUUGUUCCCAGUCGAUUGCAAAGUACAGUACCGUAAGAUCAGAAAGUUCGAGGUUUGAAGUGUGGCAUAAGGAUGUUUAUUUUGGGCUCCUGGGGUGAAGGAUCUAGUGUCAAAUUAUCACUUCUCUCAUCAAGAGAAAUGACAAAGUGACUGAUGCAUGAAACCAUUUCAUUCCUUGGCCAGUGCGCAACAGAUGAAGUGAAAAUUUACUGCAGGACCUCCCAGCCAGCAUCCUGAGCUUUGUCCCAAAAAUCGAGAGUGUAAACUUGAGCGGAACUCAAUCAAAUCAAUACACCCUCAAGCAAAUGCUGGUGCCCAGCUACUGAUGGUUCUGAAUCUGCAAGGAAACUAAUGUCCCAUCUCCCAGAAAAGGGCUUCAAAGAUCUCCUAAACAUAGUCAUUGGCAUGAAGAACCUCUGCUCUCCCACCAAAUGCAUUCAAGCCUCUGAUUGCCCUCGAAGUCCUGGAUCUAGCCUUGAACCACAUACAAAGCAUCUCACCCAAAGUUUUUGUCGGACUUGAAGCAUUGCUUUUUCUCAUUUUGGAAAACAAGAAGCUGAAGAAUAUCCAAGCUGGGACCUUUGCACCCCAAUUGGUCUUGAAAUACUGGUGCUAGACAACAGUUUUCUCUUCACACUUACCACAGCCACACGAGAAGUUAUUUCCAACCUGCAGGAGCUCUAUGUGAGAAAGAAUGAAAUUGAGAGUCUGUCAGCUGACUUCUUCUGCCAAAUACCUAAACUGUCUCACAUAGACUUAAGUGGAAAUCGACUACAUGCCAUUGAUGGAAACGUGAUAGCCAACAUGCAAGGUUUAAAAGAAGUGUUUCUGCAUGACAACCCAUGGAAAUGUGACUGCAGUAUAGGGCUAAUCACUCUCCUCCACGAAGACUUCAGUGCACUAGCCCAGAAGAGUUUCGUAGUAAACCCUUCCACCAGCUGAAAUAUGAUGAACUUCCCUGCAGGGCCUAGAAAAUCCUCACGUCUGAUAUCAUAUCACGAACACCCUCUAAAAGUUGGGAACAUGGGUAUAAUAACAGCAUGAUACUUUCUGCAACUAAAUGAUGAUGCUUCAUAUAACUCCAAACACAAUGACUUUGACAGGUUAAUGAUAGAGCUGCUGUUCUGCGGAUAGUCAUAAUUUUCACCCACGUCAGUCGACUAUUUUAAGGCCACCUGGAGAGCAGAGAACAUCCUACAAACUAUGCAGAAAGUGUGCGUUUUUGUAAUAUAUUAUUAAUAAUAAUAUGUUUACACAUUCAGCUUAAUAUUACAAAAGAUCAUCUUGAAUGUUUGUUUUAUAUUCUAUGCAUUAUUUAUCCAAAGUGUUUUUUUUUUUUAUUGUCCUUGAGCAUCUGCGUCGAAGACACUGUCAAAAUAUAUUCCCUCUAAAUAAUGUUAGUAGGUGAGUAAAUAAAAAAUACUAUAUCAUACAGCAGUUCCAAUGUCAUUAAACCCAUUCUUAAAAUGAUUUAAUCUAUUUAAUGUAUACAGUAUAUACAAAAUAAACAUCUUGAAGCUGAAAAUUAUUUUUUUUUAGAUGCAGGGAAGCUUAAAGGAAAUAAAGAUUAGAAAAUCCCUCUGCUCAGAGACUGGCUGCAAACUUCCAGCACCUGAGACUGCAUUCCUCAUCGGAUUGUUACAGCUGAAUAAGCUUCCUUUGAAAUCAUCAUUCUGUCUCUAAAUUCCACCCAGGGCGCUGAGGCUGCAGUCCCACAUACAGGAGUGGGAUCUUUUAAGAUGCUGGGAAGGUGUUAUUAAAGCAGGCUGCUAAAAUGUAUGCUUUGGUAUUUUACAUAUUAAAGUAAAAAAAGGUA